CCUACGGGAGGCAGCAGUGGGGAAUAUUGGUCAAUGGCCGCAGGUCUGAACCAGCCAAGUCGCGUGAGGGAUGACGGUCCUAUGGAUUGUAAACCUCUUUUGUCUGGGAGCAAAGGGCGUCACGUGUGGCGCCUUGCGUGUACUUUACGAGCAAGGAUCGGCUAACUCCGUGCCAGCAGCCGCGGUAAUGGGAGGGGUGCGAGGUUUAUCCGGAUUUAUUGGGUUAAAGGGGGCGGAGGGGGGAAUGUCAAGGCGGCGUGAAAAUCUCGGGGCUCACCCCUGACGUGCCGUUGAAACUGGCAGUCUUGAGUGAGUGAGAGGUAGGCGGAAUGCGUGGUGUAGCGGUGAAAUGCAUAGAUAUCACGAAGAACUCCGAUUGCGAAGGCAGCAUACUGGAACGCAACUGACGCUGAUGCACGAAAGCGUGGGUAUCGAACAGGAUUAGAUACCCGAGUAGUC
rnacentral:rRNA from 1 species